GACGAAGACGAUGUCCAACUCCCGGGGCUUUUCCCGGCAAUUUCUUGAGAAGCACGCACGAGGAAGAGGAAGAAAGCAAAGGGGGAGAGGAUGAUGAAGAAUAUGGAGGCGAGGCGUCGAAUUCGCUACUCGAGGCUGCGUGAGGAUGAACCAGACGGCGAGGAUGAGAGGGAUCUGCGGUUCGAGUACACGCCGAGCUCCCUGGAUCGAGUGCCCUGGAAGUCGGUGGCGCUCGCGCUCUUCUUGGUCUCCCUGGGAUCCCUCCUCCUCCUGCUCUCCUACUUCAUAUUUUCCGGCCACAUGCCCGGCGACCCCUCCCAGGCCUACGGCCUCCUCACCCUUGGUUUCCUCUCAUUUCUCCCAGGUUUCUAUGAGACUAGAAUUGCGUACUAUUCAUGGAGAGGUGCCAAUGGCUAUAGAUUUUCAUCCAUCCCAGGCUACUAGUAUUUCACAAGAAAGUUGGUGAGGCAUCUGUUGUAUACUACUGAUGUUAUUUGUUUUGUAAGUGCUUGAGCUCCAUCAGAAGGCGUAAAGAGCAUCAACUGGUGGAAGCGGCUGGCCUGGAGACCUCUCCAAACAGCAUGUUGCUCUAAAAAUAAAAGCAGAAGAAAUUUUUGUAGAUAUCUGUACAGUCAUCUGGAUAGGUGAUCUGUCAUCAACUUUAGGCUAACUGCAGUAAUGCACUAUUAAAUUUGUUGAAAACUUAUGUUCUUACUUAAAGUUUCUGCUAAGAAGUGGAGACAGAAAAAAAAGGCCCAUGGAAAACCCUGGACAGCCGUUGGUGGCAGUACAGAUUAUUGAAAAAAGGGAAUGAGAGAGAUGACAUUACGGCAAGUGGGGGAGGGUGGCAUUGGGGCCAGAGAAGAGAGUUACUUUUACUUUAAUCAGAAUGAUGCUUGCGCUAUUGGGGAAAGUUAUUUGAUCGUAUCAGAGAUCAGUGGGCAUAUUCACAGGGGUUCUGGCUGUUAUGCAGCAGAUAAUGAUAGGCUUGUUUGCAUUGGCAGCUUCUGACUGCGUCUGAAAAUUUCCCUCCCCUCAGUACAGCCAAAGUUCAAUUUCUGCAUUUUUCACAGCUAUUAUUUUGGACGAUUUACAGUUCAUCCCUGAAGUUAGGUAUACGAUAUGCUUUGGUGCUCUUAUAUUUUCUGAUGUUUUUGGUAUCUGGAUGGAGCUGCAGCAUGCUUCGAAAGUUUACUAUAUUUUUAUUGGUUCUGGGACGGCUUUCAUCAGGCAAGUACCAAUUGCAUGUGCAUAAUAUGUAAGCCAUAUUACCAGUCCUAAUGGAAUUGUACUUCAUUUUCGUACUGGAUGAUCUGGUCCUGUAUAGUGCUCUAGGAUAAAGUAAAAGUGGUGUCAGCCUUUUUGUCCGUAAAGAGGUGCUUGUUCCUGAAACUGUUUCAAUUCAAUUAUUUUAUCAAAAAGCAGAUACUAAUUUUUUGGGUGGAAUGUGUAGCUGCAACUGGGCCAUGGCAUUGUGGCCAAAAUCUCUUCAUUGCUUUCUGGUUUUAUAAGCUUUUUCUGGCAUCUUUGUUCUUUGAUAUGACCUAUGUAGUAUAGGGCAAAACUGUACGAGUGAUUUGAGGUGGUGUCUGGUUGCUUCAAUUUACAUGUAAUUGUUUUAGAUUUUUAGAUGAAUGCAGUGGUACACUGGUUCUAAUGAGCCAUAGCUUGAGAUAUAGAAGUCGCAUUGCUGUUCCAAACAAGUCCAUGGGUUUUAUUGAAGCUUAAAGAUUAAGAUUAAAAUCAUAUGCUGGGUUGAGGAUUGACAGCUUUAUUGCCUGGUUUUGAUGCCGACUAUGGAAGUUGUUUUGGUACCUUUUCUGUUUCUCUAAUUUUUUGUCGCUACUCAAUUUUGCUUUGAAAACACCAGCACAUUUUGAAGUUAAAUCUAUUUGCACAUGUUUUGCUAUUAGCAGCAGUACUGUUAAAAUCGGCAAAAAUCCCCCGGAUCCAAUGUCGGCGGCCUUUCUCAUGCAGUUCGCCGUUAGUGCCCAGAACAUUUUCUCGUAGGGGAUUUAUAUCGUGCCAUUAGGUUCUCAUUUUCACGUUUUCAUGGUUUCACAAAUCAUUUUUACUUCUGUUAUUCUGUAACAAGGUGUCAUCCAUUCAGGCCAGAGUAACCCAUAGUAUAAGUGGUAAGGUACAACCAGUUGUCUCUUGGACGGGGUCCUGGGUUUUUAAUUUUGUGAGAGGACUCCUCUUGAGAAGCUGGGUGAUAAGUGUUGCCUAUGCACCCAGCAGGUUCUGCGUUAGGUCAAGAAUAUCUUGAAAAAAAAAAAGAUCUUAUAAGAUGGAUGAACUUAGAUGAUUUAAGUUAUUUGUGUUGAAACGUGCAUGGUAUUACUGUUUGCCUAAGUUGCGCAGAUUUUAGAUCACACUGUAAUUUGUAAGCAGACCCUCCAUGGAUGGCCGCCUGGUUAAACCGUAAUGCAUUUAUGAUUACGUUGCACAUGUUCGUGCAACCCAAAUUCUCUGAUCGAUUGUUUUAGAACAUUUUUGGUCUGCAAAAGGGAAGUUUGUGAUUAUCUUGGUACUCGAUAGAUAUGUGAUUUGCUUAUUGAAUAUCAUAUUUCAUUUGAUCAUCAACGAAUCACCAUGCUUGGUUUGUUGUUUCAUAUUUUUUAAUCAUCUGUUGUUAUUUCACAAGGACAUAAAUAAAAACAUAAUUUUAAUUAAUCUGAUUAGCUAACGAAUGUGAUUUGAUCUUGCCGAUUCACUAAAUCGAUGGGGCUCCCUUUUCAAUUCGCUAAUCAACUUUGAUUACGUUGAUUACCAAUUUAGCACAGUUUGUAGGAUAAACUCGUAAACUAUGAUAUUUGUGGUUCUUUUAUUAAAGAACGGGCUUUGAAUCAUAUGAUCACAAAAAAAAAAAAAAAAAGGAACGUGAGCUCCGCUAGGGUUUCUCUGCGCGAGGGAAUGGUGCUCGAUGACGCCGAACCAGUUGGACGAUCCUCCACCGGCGGGUCAAAGGGUUUCUCGAGCUGGUAAGCGGGCGAAGGGGGUAGAUCCCUUGGCGCACAGAGCAGUUACGCAAAGGGGUGGAACAGCAGAGGAGGAUCCCUUCGUUCGUGGGCAGAAAUGCUCUCCCACAAUUGUGAAGAUGAGGAGGAAUAUCUUGAAGCUUUGGAAGUCGAUACAGUGGAGGGGCUCCCAACCGUCUUUGUCCAGGAGGACAUUCAAAGGAUGAUGUAGCCGUUCACUUGGACAGCCAUUGCGUGUUUUGUCGGUGGUUGAGGGAGGUUAAAAAACCCCGUUUCAGUUUUGUUGGGAAAGGCUUUUUCCUGGUCCGUGUAGAGUCGUAGACUCGAAGAGGAGUUGGAGGUCGUUCUGCGAAGUAGAGCGUGGAAUCUUGGAGGAAGGACGCUGGUGGCCAGUCGGUUGGAUUCCAGGGAUGGAAAUGAACGUAGAAGAGACUAUUAAGGUGCCUAUCUGGAUCCGGCUUCCCAAUCUACCUUAGAUUCUCUGGUGUCGAAGAGUGUUCGCUGGAAUCGCCCGACCGAUGGGAGCGGAAUUGGUGGCGGACCCUUUUGCUAAAACCCUACUUACUCUAGGGUUCGCCAGACUCUGCAUUGAUGUACCACUCAAUUUCCGACCAUGGUCGGUGGUGGAUUUAUCCCUGGGAGGAGGUAAAGUUCUGAAUCAAGUCAAGAGGUGAUCUACGAAGGCCAGAUCAAGUUCUGCACGAAAUGUAGAUAAAUUACCCAUUUAACGGAAGAUUGCAAAGCAGGGAUGAGCUCGUCUGCUCCCAAUCCUUCCCCUACGUCCUUGGUUGAAGAUAUGGGAUACGCCCUGCCCGACGCGCGGACAUGCUGGGCGCUAGGGAGAGGACGAGCGGACUAAAAAACCACCCAAAUGCAAACAGAUUUGGGGUUUUGGUGGAAAAUGGCAACGGUGGUGGUGCUUUACAGAUAAGGGCAGGAGAGGCCCCUGUGCCGUCGCGUUUACAGGGUCCUCCAAGCCAAACUCUUGCACAUCCUCCAUCUCCUCUUGGUGGCACCUUCCCUGUCGUGACCACCCCCACCCCAGCUUCGACCCCCUGCACGUCAAGGCCAGCGUGGGGCGAUUGUCGCCGCAGGUACUGUUCCUGACCCCUUUCCCUUUGGUUUCUGACUCUGCAGGAGUGCUCGACCCCGGCUGGCCCAGAGAGAGGUCCCCUGCCCCCAUCCAGGCCAUUUCUGGCCUGAUCUCAAAUCAUUCAACACUGCCUCCGGGCUUUAGCCGUCGACCCUGUUCCGAGAGUAGGGACGCCCCUCGAAGCUCUCGCUCUCCACGAGCCUCUAAGGGUCUGCAUGGGAACUGGCACGGUGGGAUGGAGAAGUCGGCUGGUUCUGCAGGUAGGAACAAGGGAAAGAGAGACAUUGGCCCCUAUGAUGGUAUCAGUAAGAGAGCUUCCCGUGAGGCUCUCAGGGAUGUUAACAAUACGCUUACCCCUACCAUGGAUGAGGAUUUGGAGCUCGUUCCUCCAACUUUGGAAGAAGUCUUGGGUAUCGAAUUUAACGACUCUGAACUCGUUGAGGCUAAUGAGUGUACAAAGGACAAGGACAGUGGAGAGUCAGGCCAAGGGUGUGGCCCCAUCCCUGAAAGUUCUCAAUGAAUUGUGUCGCUAGGAAUAUUUGUGGGCUAGUGCGCAGGUCUGCGCAACUAGACCUGAAAUUGCUGGUUCAACUUCAGGAUCCGUGUCUCUUUUACAUUCUCGUUCUGCUUACUGUGCCAAACUUUGAAGGGUGGAAAUGCCAGUACCCCAGUUUGGCGUUUUUAGCAAACAAUAAAUUCAAUGGUGGCAUUGCCAGGGUCAUCUUAGGUUGGCGCCCGGAUCAUCUAACAGUUUUACAGGCUUGGCGAGAGGACUCUUGGAUUGCUGUUCUGUGCAGAAGGCGUUCAGACGCAUGCAACUUCAUUUGUGUUGGAGUUUAUCUAAGUCCUCUUCAUCCCAUCAUAUUGAGUCAGUUCGAGGGGCUUCGCCAGUUUCUUCACUCCUGUGAGAUUCCCUAUUUCAUUGUGGGAGACCUAAAUGCCCUGCGAGGUCCUGAGGAUAAGUCUGGGCGGCACCCAAAUGCCCUGGCUUGCAGAGAAUUCAGUCGGUUCCUGUGGGGCUUGGAUCUCAGCGUAGUUAAUGACAACGCAACUUCUUAUAUCUGGUCUAACAAUAGGGAUGUAGCGCAACGAGUUUAUUGCAGGCUGGACUGGGCCUUAGUUAGCAGUUGGAUGGCGUCAGCAGACUCAGCUUCGACCGGCUCAUCAUGUGCAUCCGAGAACGACAUCGGACCAACAAUGUGAUCAUUCUGUCCUUCUCCCCGGCGAGUAAUCAGCAGGCGGGACGAGGGUUUUUUCGCUUUUACAAAUGUUGGGCUUCACACCCUUCUUGCGUUCAGAUAGUGGAGGAAGCCUGGGAUGUCCCUGCUAGAGGAUGCGCGAUGAUUAUUGCUGCCAAGAAACGUGAACUUACCCGAAAGCGUUUGGCUAACUGGAAUAAGUCGUCUUAUGGUAACAUUUCCUCCAGGGUGCGAGCGGAAGGGAGGAAUUGGGUAGGAUCCAAAACAGGGGCAAUUGGUUCAGUACGGAGGAGCUUCACUUAGAGAAGACACUGCUCUUGGAACUAGACGCCGCCCUUUCCGAAGAAGCAUUAUUCUGGAAGCAAAAGGCCCGCUGCAGUUGGCUGAUGGACGGGAAUCGUAGUACUCGCUCCUUUCAGUCCUGGGUGAAACACAGAGCAAGUGAAAAUUGGACUGCUGAAAUGGAUAUCAGUGGAGUGGUAGGUAAAGACUCUUAUGAGAUUAUGGAGUUCUGCGCUAAUCGUUUCCAGAGCUUUUACGAGGAUGCGACUGUUGUUCCUACUCUCCAUUCCGGAUGGUUGGAUGGACUGGGUGUUCUCGAAAGUGAGAAAUCGUUCAUCUCCUUCCCCGUCAUGGAAGCUGAGAUAAGAAAUCGUGCAUUUCCUUAUCAAAUCAGUGUUGGCGCAGCUCCUAAAUUAUUGGAUGCUUACUUUUAGACUGCCCAACACCACCAUUUCAGAAGUUACUACUUACUCGGAUCUUUUAUCGGUUUCUAUGGGGAGGGCAGGAUGAUGUGAGGAGAUUACACUUGUUAAUCGGGCACUCUCAAUCGGGAAAACUUGAUUUUCUUGACACUCAGGGCGCGGCUGACGGUCUCUGUGGGCAGGUCUUAUUAGAUGCAAUUAUAUGAAUAGGUCGAGCCUGUGGAUGGAAAAAAUCCAUCCUAGAUAGUCCUGGUCAUGGAAGGGCUUAUCUUGGUCGGAAGUGGGUCACAAUGUAUUGUGGAGAGUCUGUCCAUUUCUGGAAUGAACCUUGGGGAUGGGGGAUCUUACUUUGUUUGCUUAAUGGAAACGACUAUAGCCGAGCAAAUUUGACCAUAUCGCAACCAUUAAGGAGGCGGUCUGUCAGCCAUAUGGGCAACUUUACUGGGACUGGAAGCUUCGUGGUUGAAGCAUGUCACAAACCAGGUCAUCCUCUCUUCCAGUGAAGAUACCCUGGUUUGGGAUGGAGCCAACACCCAGUCCUUUUCUAGAAGUGAGUGACCUUUGUGAGAAAAUUCGCCUUAGGAAACCUGCUAUUGAUUUGAGAAAACUGAAAAGCAAGCUGGGAUAUUAAGGCUCCCCGGCGGGCAAAGUGGUUCCUCUUCCUUGCAUGCGAGGUGCCGCCUUACGACGACGGAGAGAAUGAAAAGACUGGGAAUACAGUUUGCCAGCAGGUGUUGUCUCUGGGAAUGGUCCAGAUUCUGUCGACUAUAUUUUGGCUACUUGUAAGAGUGGCAAAAGUGGUUUGGAGGUACGUUAGUCAGAAAUUCUGUAGAUGUUUUCAUUUCAAGAGGGGCCUAAUUCAAGGGAUACUUAGAUGGCACUGUAUUGCAUUUAAACGAGGAUGGAUGCUCGAUCUGUGGCCCAUGAUCCCCACUUUGUUGUUGGAUGAUUUGGCAAACACAAAAUUACAAACUCUUCCCUGACCAGUCGCUAACUCCGAGUGCUAUCUGUGGAGCUGUUCUACAUGAUGUUCAUGCUAUAGCCCAGGCUCUUCUACUAGGCAAGGGAUCGGAACAUGAGUUUCAAACCUGGACAUCGGAUAUUGUUCCAUCCCCUCCCGUUUUCCUAUGGGAAAUCAAGUUUAUAUUCAAAUCGUGUGAGUAAACGAUCUAGAUAUUUUGCAGAUCUGCCCUCCAACAGCAAGCUUGCUUCAUUGGACGUUAUACGAAAAUCAGCUAGUGGAGGGACCAUAUUGUUAUUCCGAACUUCCACCCCGAUUACUCUACUGUGAAACCCCUAUGCAAAACGCUAUUGAUUUGAUGAUGUUUUUCCAGUUUUUCUAUGGAACAUCUAUCUCCUGAGUCUUCUGUAAGGGGAUUUUGUUUUGCUGUCAUGUACAGUCUUUAGCUUGUCCGUAAGGAUCAUGUACAACUUUCGGUUUGUUUAUUGAAAUAAAAGUGGGAGAUUUGAUCC